GAUGAACGCUGGCGGCGUGCCUAAUACAUGCAAGUCGAGCGAACAGACGAGGAGCUUGCCUCUCUGACGUUUGCGGCGGACGGGUGAGUAACACGUGUAUAACCUACCUAUAAGACUGGGAAAACUUCGGGAAACUGGAUCUAAUACCGUAUAAGAUAUUGAUCCGUAUGGUUCAAUAAUGAAAUACGGUUUUGCUGCUACUUAUAGAUGGUUCCGCGCCGCAUUAGCUAGUUGGUAAGAUAACGGCUUACCAAGGCAACGAUCAGUAGCCGACCUGGGAGGUGGACCGCCCACCCUGGAACUGGGCCACGGUCCGGCUUCCUCCGGGGGGCAGCGUAAGGGAUUCUUCGGCAAUGGGCGAAGGCCUAACGGGGCACGGCGCCGUGAGUAAUGAAGGUCUUCGGACCGUAAGCCUCUGUUAUUAGGGAGGAACAAAUGGGUAAGUAAAUAUGCACGCCUUGACGGUACCUAAUCAGAAAGCCACGGCUAACUACGUG
rnacentral:rRNA from 1 species